CCUACGGGAGGCAGCAGUGGGGAAUAUUGGUCAAUGGGCGCAAGCCUGAUCCAGCAACGCCGCGUGAAUGAUGAAUGUCUUCCGGUUGUAAAACUCUUUUCUUAAAGAAAUAAAGUGGGGCGCGUCCGUCUUUAUGUUUCUACUUUAUCUACACGGAAAGGCUAACUAAGUUACAGCAGCGGCGGUAAUACGGAGGAUCCGAGCGUUAUCUGGAUUUAUUGGGUUUAAAGGGAAGGUAGAUGGGUUGAUAAGUCAGUUGUGAAAGUUUGCGGCUCAACCGUAGAAUUGCAAUUGAUACUGGCAGACUUGAGUGCAGGUGAGGUAAGCGGAAUUCGUGGUGUAGCGGUGAAAUGCGUAGAUAUCACGAAGAACACCAGUUGCGAAGGCGGCCUACUAGACUGUAACUGACAUUGAGGCUCGAAAGUGUGGGUAGCAAACAGGAUUAGAUACCCUUGUAGUC
rnacentral:rRNA from 1 species